rnacentral:rRNA from 1 species
CCACCUGCCUAUAAGACUGGGAUAACUUCGGGAAACCGGASCUAAUACCGGAUACGUUCUUCCCUCGCAUGAGGGAAGAUGGAAAGACGGUUUACGCUGUCACUUAUAGAUGGGCCCGCGGCGCAUUAGCUAGUUGGUGAGGUAAUGGCUCACCAAGGCGACGAUGCGUAGCCGACCUGAGAGGGUGAUCGGCCACACUGGGACUGAGACACGGCCCAGACUCCUACGGGAGGCAGCAGUAGGGAAUCUUCCGCAAUGGACGAAAGUCUGACGGAGCAACGCCGCGUGAACGAAGAAGGCCUUCGGGUCGUAAAGUUCUGUUGUUAGGGAAGAACAAGUACCAGAGUAACUGCUGGUACCUUGACGGUACCUAACCAGAAAGCCACGGCUAACUACGUGCCAGCAGCCGCGGUAAUACGUAGGUGGCAAGCGUUGUCCGGGAAUUAUUGGGCGUAAAGCGCGCGCAGGUGGUUCCUUAAGUCUGAUGUGAAAGCCCACGGCUCAACCGUGGAGGGUCAUUGGGAAACUGGGGAACUUGAGUGCAGAAGAGGAAAGUGGAAUUCCAAGUGUAGCGGUGAAAUGCGUAGAGAUUUGGAGGAACCCCAAUGGCGAAGGCGACUUUCUGGUCUGUAACUGACACUGAGGCGCG